UGCAUCGAGGGGAAUCGAACCCGGGCCGCUCGCGUGGCAGGCGAGCAUUCUACCACUGAACCACCGAUGG
rnacentral:tRNA from 1 species